GAAAGUUCGUCAGAGUUUCAUACACAAAAUCACAUCGACUUGUGUGUCAUCAAGAUCUGGUGAAUUAAAUAUUCCUUCAGUUGUGAACGGAUGCUUUGUGAGCGCUCACUAUCCACCAGAGCUUCAUAGUCUAGUUUACACUAAAGAAAUAAACAGAUGAAUAUUUAUCUGGAACAAUAAAAUCCUGAAACACAAGAGUCCAGUAAGAAGCUUUUAAUGACAAUAUGUGUCAAACAUCUCCUGUUCACACCCGACAGUGAUUGACACGUUCAGUGAAGCUCCUCCUACAGCAAUCCACCAAUAAAUGUGAAUAAAUCACUUCAGGAGUUCUUCAUACUGUUGCUGGAGGAGAAGAAGCUUGAGAACAUGAGAGAUCCAGAACUAUACAGAAUGAAAGAUGAAGAUACUGAGGAACAAAGAGAUAUGAUGGAAGUGAAUCAGGACAGUCAAGCUGAAGUGAAUGAUGCUGAUGGGAAUGUGAAAACAAUACAGAAUGUUU